UUCACUCCGUUAGUUAAGAAAGAAAUCCUCCGGACCGACUGCCCCUGUGCCGGGGGCUGAGAGGCCAAACAAUCGCCCGUUUCCCGCACCUCGUGUGAAUCUCCUACACGCCCGCUUGCUGUGUGCCAGGCACUACGCAGAGCGCUCUACACGCUCGAGCUCGGUUACUUCUCAGGUACACGGUAUCGUCCUCGCUGUAGAGCUGCAGAACCUGAGACUGAGAAAUUACUUCAAGGCCAAAGGUCAUGAGUGGCGACUCCUAGCCUCUCAAUCAGAAGUUAACCUCCACGCUCACGCUAAACGCCUACUCCAUCCUACACCAGUCCCGCCUUCUGUGAGGGGCUAAAUCCAGCGCGCAGCUUUCUACUGACCUGAGGCGGCCUUCACGGCACGAGCAAAGACAGGGGCCGCCAUCUUGCCACCCCGCCCUACGGCAGCCGCAUUGGGAUCUAAAACUCCAGCGCGAAAGGAAGUUAAGGAAAAGGUAUGGGUGGAGUCUAAGAAAAAAAGAAGGAAAAAAAAAAAAAACAAAAA